AGCUGCGGCUUCCUGCCUCAGGCAGGAUGUACCAAACGUGGAAGCGGAGACGGGGAGGUCUGGGGGUGCCACGCAAGUCCCUUUCCUCCCGACACGAGUGCAGUAAAGAAAAACGGUUAUGAGCGUAAAGUGACAGCCUCGGCCGAUGGGAAUAGGGGGAAGUCCGACACUGAGCAACGAACGCAUUCCCGCGCCUCCAAAACCUAGGCCGGGGGCGCUGGAAACCCUUACCGGCACCCGGCCACCGCGGCAGACGCUUGCUCCUGCCACGCCCCCCCCCCCUCCCCCGCAUCACGUGUCUGCACUCGCUUUCCUCGGAUUCCCGGAUGUGGUUGCCAAAACAAAGGGGAUUUGGUGAUGGAGGCUUUGUUAGAAGGAAUACAAAAUCGAGGGCAUGGUGGGGGAUUUUUGACAUCUUGUGAAGCAGAACUACAGGAGCUCAUGAAACAGAUUGACAUAAUGGUGGCUCAUAAAAAAUCUGAAUGGGAAGGACGUACACAUGCUCUAGAAACUUGCUUGAAAAUCCGUGAACAGGAACUUAAGAGUCUUAGGAGUCAGUUGGAUGUGACACAUAAGGAGGUUGGAAUGUUGCAUCAGCAGGUAGAAGAACAUGAAAAAAUCAAGCAAGAGAUGACCAUGGAAUAUAAGCAGGAGUUGAAGAAACUACAUGAAGAAUUAUGCAUACUGAAGAGAAGCUAUGAAAAGCUUCAGAAAAAGCAAAUGAGGGAAUUCAGAGGAAAUACCAAAAAUCACAGGGAAGAUCGGUCUGAAAUUGAGAGGUUAACUGCAAAAAUAGAGGAAUUCCGUCAGAAAUCGCUGGACUGGGAGAAGCAACGCUUGAUUUAUCAGCAACAGGUAUCUUCACUGGAGGCACAAAGGAAGGCUCUGGCUGAACAAUCAGAGAUAAUUCAGGCUCAGCUUGUCAAUCGGAAACAGAAAUUAGAGUCUGUGGAACUUUCUAGCCAAUCAGAAAUUCAACACUUAAGCAGUAAACUGGAGCGGGCUAAUGACACUAUCUGUGCCAAUGAGUUGGAAAUAGAGCGCCUCACCAUGAGGGUCAAUGACUUGGUUGGAACCAGUAUGACUGUCCUACAGGAGCAGCAGCAAAAAGAAGAAAAAUUGAGGGAAUCUGAAAAACUAUUAGAGGCUCUGCAGGAAGAAAAGAGAGAAUUGAAGGCAGCUCUUCAGUCUCAAGAAAAUCUCAUACAUGAGGCCAGAAUACAAAAGGAGAAGUUACAAGAAAAAGUAAAGGCAACUAACACUCAACAUGCUGUAGAAGCUAUAAGUUUGGAAUCUGUGAGUGCAACGUGUAAACAGCUGAGCCAAGAACUAAUGGAAAAAUAUGAAGAACUGAAGAGGAUGGAAGCACAUAACAAUGAAUACAAAGCAGAGAUUAAGAAGUUGAAAGAACAGAUUUUACAGGGUGAACAAAGUUACAGUUCUGCACUAGAAGGAAUGAAGAUGGAAAUCUCCCAUCUAACUCAGGAGUUACAUCAGCGAGAUAUCACUAUUGCUUCCACCAAAGGUUCUUCCUCAGACAUGGAAAAGCGACUCAGAGCAGAGAUGCAAAAGGCAGAAGACAAAGCAGUAGAGCAUAAGGAGAUUUUGGAUCAGCUGGAGUCACUCAAAUUAGAAAAUCGUCAUCUUUCUGAAAUGGUGAUGAAAUUGGAAUUGGGUUUACAUGAGGGCCCCAUGCAGAACCUCAUGAGACGUGACUUCAGAGGCCUCCUCUCUGAAGGUGAGGGAGGCGUCAGCUGUUCAGAGAGAGAGGCUGCCUUGCCUGGGGACACACAGCUAGCCAGUGGCCGGAGCAGCAGUGGAUGCAGUUGUCCUGAUGCAUAGUUCAAGAAGCUUUUUUUUUUUUUUUUUUUUUCACGUGUGAAAACAUCUAUUGGGAAAAUGGAAAAAUCAUUUGACCUCAUAUUCCUCAUAGCUGACAUGUCUCCUUGUUCCCACCCCACUGACCACUGAAUUGCUGCUUGAAUUGCCAGGAACUUCCUGGUGUGGCAGAAGGAAGACUAAGAACCAGGAAGUGGCUGACAAGAAAGGGAGCUGCAUUCUGCAACUGGAGUUAGUAUUUGCUCUGACCUAACACUUUGGGUGAUUCAUUGGGUCCUCCUGGAACCUGGUGUUCCUGCCCUCUUUUGGAGUUUCCUGCUUUCUUGAAUCCACUGCCAGAUAAUGCCGGGAUAAGAACUGACCAUGGAUGGAAACAAAGAUGCAGGAAGGGGAAAGCAGUUCGUGUGAAGGUCAAAACCUAGAAAGGUCAGGUCAUAAUUAAAUUAUUCCUUGGGAGGAUUAAAGGCCAACUGAAUCCCAUAAAUCUAAGACCGUAAAGGCAGAAUUGUAGCCAAUAGUUAUUAGACUCCCUGGGCAAAAGGAAAGGAACUUUCCCUGCCGAUCUGGAACCAGGUCAGGAAGAUUUGGGUCCCUGAUGGGAUCAGGGGAGUUGAAGGUGGGGAUGCCAAGGCAGGUAGUUUUAUGCCCCUGAAGGCCACUUUAGGCUAUAAAUAUAACAAAGAAGAUUGCAACCACACAUGGGUUAUUCUGAGAAACAGUGCUCCAUUUAUUUCUCACACCUGCAUUUUGUAUUUCACACCUACAUUUUUUUCCCACCUACCUUUUUGAUAGAAUGAUAAAGGUUCGAAAUGAUAGCUAGCAUUUGUUACACACUUACUAUGCCUGGCUUGGGCUUUAUAUUUACUCUCUCAUUUAAUCUCAUAAUAAUCUUAUGAGGCAGAUUCGCUUAUUUUCCUUCUUUUAUAGUUGACAAAACUGAGUUCAAAAGAGGGGUUAGGCCACUUGCCCAAGGUCACACAGCUGAAACAUGAACCCAGUCAGUCGACCCUAGAGCCUGCCCUCUUUACAGUAGACUACUUUCUUGAGAUCCUGACUGCUGAUGACUACAGGACCAGACAGUUUUGGAGGACUUUGGCUCACUGCAUGGACCUAAAGAGGACUUGAGCCUCAGUUGUUCUGCAGCCUCUGUUACUUAACCUGCAUUCUUCCUGAGGUCCCUGUUUAACCAUAAGGUGCACAGAUGCAGGGAGAGGACCGAGAAGGGAGUUGGGGAGACAUCAUCGUCCUGGGCCUGGGCCUAUGUGCACUGCACUGAGGGCAGCAAAGUAUGGUGGUUAAGACCACAGGCUUCAGAGUCAUACCUGGGUUCUGACCCACUUCUUAGCUGGGUGACUUGGGUAGUUACUUCACCUCUCUAAGCCUCACUUUGCUGAUCUAAAAAGUGGGGAUGAUAUUAGUAUACAUCAAAAGGUUAAAAAGUUAAUAAAUGUUAAAGUACUUAGCAUUUUGCAUGCCACUUUUCUGGCAGUAAACAAAUGGUAUCUAAAAGCAACAGCAACAACACUCUUGUGAUGCAAUGUGUCUUCAGCUAAAUGUCUGUGUUACCUAUGACUAGUUCCAGAGAUGCAAAAUCAGCGGUAGCUGGGUGUAGAGAAAAGAGUCUCCCAGGAUAAAGCUGUCAUGCUUCUGCCUUUUCCCAGUUUGCAGGCCCAUGUCACUCUUCUCCUUCCCUCAGAAGAUGCUUGGGCUGGGAUCUGGCCCAACCAGCUGCCUUCAAUCCUCUCUGCCAGCCCUCCACCAUGAGUACCUGUGUCAUACAUACGUUUAGCCAAGGAGAACUUCUUGAGCAGCUGGGGCAUGGCAUCUCGAGGGUGGACUUCCACAGUCAGUUGUGUCCCUACAAAGGAAAAGGAGAUGACAUUCUCAACCAGAUGCUGCCAGGAAAGGGUGAAU
ensembl:lncRNA novel transcrpt